UACAGAGGGUGCAAGCGUUGUUCGGAAUUAUUGGGCGUAAAGCGCACGUAGGCGGUCCGUUAAGUCGGAUGUGAAAUCCCCCGGCUCAACCGGGGAAGUGCAUCCGAAACUGGCGGGCUAGAGUACGAAAGAGGGUCGCGGAAUUCCCGGUGUAGAGGUGAAAUUCGUAGAUAUCGGGAGGAACACCGGUGGCGAAGGCGGCGACCUGGGUCGAUACUGACGCUGAGGUGCGAAAGCGUGGGGAGCAAACAGG
rnacentral:rRNA from 1 species